rnacentral:rRNA from 1 species
CAGCAGCCACGGUAAUACGAGGGGUGCAAGCGUUAUUCGGAUUGAUUGGGUGUAAAGGGUGUGCAGACGGCUUAUUAAGUCACUUGUUAAAUUCUUCGGCCUAACUGAAGGUCUGCAAGUGAUACUGAUGAACUAGAGGGUGGAAGAGAGAAGUGGAAUUCUCGGAGUAGCGGUAAAAUGCGUAGAUCUCGAGGGGAACACCAAUGGCGAAGGCAGCUUCUUGGUCCAUUCCUGACGUUCAUACACGAAAGCGUGGGGAGCAAACAGGAUUAGAGACCCCAGUAGUCCCUGUCUCUUAUAU